UGGGGAAUAUUGCACAAUGGGGGAAACCCUGAUGCAGCGACGCCGCGUGAGCGAAGAAGGUUUUCGAAUCGUAAAGCUCUGUCCUAUGGGAAGAUAAUGACGGUACCAUAGGAGGAAGCCCCGGCUAACUACGUGCCAGCAGCCGCGGUAAUACGUAGGGGGCAAGCGUUGUCCGGAAUCACUGGGCGUAAAGGGUUCGCAGGCGGAAAUGCAAGUCAGUUGUGAAAGGCAGAGGCUCAACCUCUGUAAGCAAUUGAAACUGUAUUUCUUGAGAUGUGGAGAGGCAAGUGGAAUUCCUAGUGUAUCGGUGAAAUGCGUAGAUAUUAGGAAGAAUACCGGUGGCGAAGGCGACUUGCUGGACACAAACUGACGCUGAGGAACGAAAGCGUGGGUAGCAAACAGG
rnacentral:rRNA from 1 species